AUUUCUGUAGUUGAAGUUUACAGCGGCGGCUUUUCAGGCCGCAGUUCUUGGAGAAAAGCCAAGCAGGAAUU
rnacentral:tRNA from 1 species